GGAGAGCCGUGUGUACUGCAAAUAUCCUCUCCAUUUAGAAUAGGGCGAUGAACAUAAUAGGUCAUUUGACAAUUUCUUUAUAAGAUGUCAGGAUUAUGAGUUUCUCCCUCUGGAUCCUAAGCAGCCUCUCUCCCAUCAUAUUGUUUAUCGAGGAAUGAAGUCUUAGUUGCAGGAGAGGGUCCGAUAUAAUGGUGUUAGGUAAAACAAGAGUGUUUUGAGGUGUGGAAAAAUACUUCUGAAGCAGAGAGGGAGGCUCUCUAGACUACUCCGGUGUUUUCUUGGAUUGAUAGAGACUCAUGGGCUAAUUUGUGUGCUUAUUAUGAUUCAGAGGACAAGAAGGAGGAGGCAAGACGUAAUGUGCAGAAUCGGGCGUCAAGUUUGCAUGGUCAAGCAACCUAUACAGAUGGCUCAAGGAACAUGUGUCGGGCUAUGGAUCGAUUGAAAUGUCAAAUCAUUAAGGAUGGUGGCACACCUAUAAUGUUAAAACUAUAUUUGGGUACUCAAUCACCAUUAGUAUAUAAGAUCACCGGAGAGUAUACAUUCCCAGACAACAACACUAAGGAGUAUUGCGUUAAGUCUUUUGGAUGAAGAUAUGUUUACUACACCUGGAUUUCUUGAUUUUUUCCCCCCAGAAGUAUGUUUUUUCUGUUAGAUCUAAGAUUUAAGAUCUAAACCUUAAAGCCAUGAUUAAUUCAAAGAUAUUAACAAGAACCUAAAGGUACGGAAGCAUAUACCUGAAUCCAUUGAGAAAAACCUGAUUAGGGUUUGAUGAUCUUCUAACCUUAGGGUUUCUCUCU